UUAUGCGAUACUUGGUGUGAAUUGCAGAAUCCCGUGAACCAUCGAGUCUUUGAACGCAAGUUGCGCCCGAUGCCAUUAGGUUGAGGGCACGUCUGCCUGGGCGUCACAUAUCGAAGCCUCUUGCCAAUUUCCUAAUGAUAGGUAUUGUGCAGGGUGAAUGUUGGCCUCCCGUGAGCUCCAUCGUCUCAUGGUUGGUUGAAAACUGAGACCUUGGUAGUUUGUGCCAUGAUAGAUGGUGGUUGUGUUACGCACGAGCCCAAAUAAUCAUGUGCUGCUCUAUCGAAUUUAGCCUCUUUUACCCAUAUGUGUUUCUAAACGCUCGUGAUGAGACCUCAGGUCAGGCGGGGCUACCCGCUGAAUUUAAGCAUAUCAAUAAGCGGAGGAAAAGAAACUAACAAGGAUUCCCUUAGUAACGGCGAGCGAACCGGGAUAAGCCCACCAUGAGAAUCGGUCGCCCUCGGCGUUCGAAUUGUAGUCUGAAAAAAGCGUCAA
rnacentral:rRNA from 1 species